AUGGGUGCCCACGGGGCUGGGGUCAGGCUCUGUGUGUCAUGGGCGGGCUCAGGUUGUCACCCACACCCUGGCCGGGUGGCCUGGGGUCCCUGCCCGGCCACGCCCCCUGGCCGGGCUGGGCUGGGCGCUCGUGACGGCUGUGUGUCUGUUUCAGGUUUCCACUAUUCCAAGUCUGACUCCAUCCCAGGAUAUGGCAAGAAUGGCUUGGACCACCGGAACGCCAACCUGGCCCCUUGUGGAGCAGACCGGGAUGCCAGCUGGGGCACGCGAGGUACAGGCGGCGGGAACCCCCGAGGGCUUCCGGGGGGCGGGGGCCUGCCCCUGCUUCCUCCGCUGCUCUUGAGCCAGCCCUCCGGGCGUGCUGGCACACGGCUCAGGCGUGGCGGGCAGGGCGUGCCAUGCGGGCGGUGGCUCCGUGACCCGCCUCUUCCAGCCGGACAUCCGUUUCCCUCCGUGCUGAGUCGCCCGAGGCGUCCGCGAGCUCAUGUCCUGGGCGCGGGGCCUGCCCUGCCUUGUUCAGUGUUAUGCGUCACACGGGGCAACUGAGUCGCAGGCAGGCGGCUUCCAGGGUCUGAUCCAGAUGAGAGGGGCCAGGCCCUGCCCCACCCUGCCCUCAGGCGGGGAGGGUGGCCGCUUGGCCUGGGGCAGGGGCCUGGUGGGGCUGCUCUCCCAGCUCGGAGAAGGCUCCUGAGCUGGGCCGUGCUCACCUGCUCGUCCCUGAGGAUGCUGGGAGCCCUUCUCGUGUGCACGGCUUCCUCUAAGGGGCCGCCCACGUCUCUGAGCCCCAGAGCCGGCACUAGAGGACCUCGGGCGUGGGGUGCCACUCCUGGGGGCUCACCGAGGCCCCAUCAGCCGCUCUGCCUUUUGUCUUCGUAAGACACGAGGCCGGCAGGGCAGCGUUACAACGUGCCAGGGCACCACGCUCGGCAGCUUGGACAGGAGCGAGCGAGUUGAGAGGGGGAUCAGGCCAUGGUGUGGACGCCAACAGCUCUGCCCGUGGUGCGCACCGCACAGGCAGGCCGGCGGAGGUGGGCUUCCUUCUGGGGUGGCCCCGACCGCCAGGGGAGACAGUGUCGCGCCCGGGCAGCACAGUGCCGGUCGGCUGCCAUCUGGCCCGCAGCCUCCUGGCCGUGCCUCCCGCUCCUGGAGCCCCUCCCGGCAGCCCUGCCAGAGCCCCAGUGCGGGCUGCUCAGCGGCUCCUGCGUGGCCCGGCGGGGAGGCCCACGUUGGCCACGAAUCCUUUGCCUCUGAUGGGCCCUCUGUCUGCUCUUUGUCUUCCAGAGUACAAGGUAAGACCUCACCUCCAGCCCUGCCGCACCUGCCCCCGUGAGACACGUGUGUGCCCCUGGGCACACGCCUGCGUCCCGAGGUGAGCCGUGGUCUCCUCCCGGACAGGUGUACCCUUACGACGCCCUCAUCGUCACAAACCAGAUCCGCGUGAAGCUGCCCAAGGAUGUGGACCGGACGAGGCUGGAGGUACCGGGGGCCCCGGGGUGCUCUGGCCGUGUCACGGGGCAGGCGUGUGCGAUGAUGUCGAGUGCUGGGA
rnacentral:lncRNA from 1 species